rnacentral:lncRNA from 10 species
GUCAUACCAGCGUGGAAAGCUCCUGUGACUUGAACUGAGGCUUUUAGUGGAGCGAUGCAGUCAACUAAUCCUGGAGACUUGGCACUGAGGAAGUCUUCCAUACCCUCCUGAAAACCUACAGCACAGAAUGUAGUCAAUUUGCAGUAGGAGCUCCGCAGUCCCCAGCCGGCUCCCGAGCAUCUAGUUCAUUACACUGCAGAAAGUGAAAUAAACUACUUUUAUCUUUUUAAUGCUCACCAUGUCCUCCAAGGGUUUACAUACAGAGAACAAGAAACAUCCCUUCACAUUUUAACUAAAGGCUGCACUCAGUAAUGAAUUUCCAAAUUCUGAAAUUUACAGUCUUUUAAAAUUGGCCCAUACAGAAAAAAGCACUGUAGUUCCUCAGCCGUAACCAAACACCAAUAAUCAAUAGUAAAUUUGAAGACUUGGUCUCUGAGGAGCCCUGCGCUGGGAGUAUGCUUGAAGAAUGGGUAUCCACCUCUAAGAAAUUAUGGAAGUUACAAGUUCAGCCAGAUGUUGGACAUACAGAUGUGAGAGUCAAUGCCCAGUCAAAAGAAAAACUGAAGAUCCACAGCAGCAUCUUCCCCAACACAGCCAGGAAAACACUUCAAAUGUCCUUCUAUGGCUUUGUGUCUGUUUGUGUGUGCAUUUUAACAAUGAAGAUACCCCAAUGACGGAAAAGAUGACACUGAAAAUUAUUGAAUAUGAGGAGAUCUGAACAAGAAUAAUUCAUGGAGGAUUGCUAGAGUCAUCGUGUGUGGAUAAACAGAAUGAGUACUGCAUAUACACAAAAAUGCUGUAUUUCUUCAGUAAACAACUUGCAUACCUGCAGCAGUGCUGAAUGAGAAAUAACAGCUAAGUGUUUUUUCUUUUCCUGCCUUUAUAGUUACAGUAUUCCCUACAGAUUUCCCAUCCAGAUGCUCUUCUGUCUACAAUCUGACUGUGUGCAAAAUCCAAGAUGAUAUGCUGCGAUAAUUUUUAGUGUUAACAUGGAGGAUCUAUAGGCCUGGAUAUAUAUAUAUAUAUAUAUAUAUAUAUAUAUAUAUAUAUAUAUAUGUAUGAUAUAUAUAUGUAUGUCAAAUGCAUGGUGUCCAUUUACAUUCUCAUUGAUCUUGAACUAUUUCUUAAGCUCUGUGUCUUAUAUUU